GUAGGUGGCAGGCGUUGUCCGGAAUUAUUGGGCGUAAAGCGCGCGCAGGCGGUUCUUUAAGUCUGAUGUGAAAGCCCACGGCUCAACCGUGGAGGGUCAUUGGAAACUGGAGAACUUGAGUACAGAAGAGGAAAGCGGAAUUCCACGUGUAGCGGUGAAAUGCGGAGAGAUGUGGAGGAACACCAGUGGCGAAGGCGGCUUUCUGGUCUGUAACUGACGCUGAGGCGCGAAAGCGUGGGGAGCAAACAGGAUUAGAUACCCUGGUAGUCCACGCCGUAAACGAUGAGUGCUAAGUGUUAGGGGGUUUCCGCCCCCCUUAGUGCUGCAGCUAACGCAUUAAGCACUCCGCCUGGGAGUACGGCCGCAAGGCUG
rnacentral:rRNA from 1 species